rnacentral:ncRNA from 2 species
GUGUUCGUGGAGCCGAGAGAAGGUUAGCAUCUCCCUCGACAAGGACGGGAUUGCACGAAAGUGUGUCCAGUAUCUGGAAAGUCUAAGCUCUGUCCUCCACAGUGAGGAAAUUUAUCAUAGUUUUCU